UGAGCAGUCCAUACGGCAGCGGGAUCGUUCAGGUCACGAGGAAAGUCCGGGCAUCACAGAGCAGGGUAGCUGCUAACGGCAGCCGAGGGCGACCUUAGGGCAAGUGCAACAGAGAUAUACUGCCUCCGCUUGCGGGGGUGAUGGUGGAAAGGCGGGGUAAGAGCCCACCAGAGUGCGGGAGACCGUACUGCUAUGUAAACCCUACCCGAUGCAACGUCUAUUGGUGUCAGGUAUCUUAACGUCUGCUCGGCGGAUAUCUGGCAAUGACGGCUUGAGCCUUCCGGCGACGGGAGGAGUAGAUAAAUUGCCGUACACGACAGAACCCGGCUUAUCGGUCUGGUCACAUU
rnacentral:RNase_P_RNA from 1 species